rnacentral:misc_RNA from 1 species
GAUAAAGAACGUAGCGAAAUGCGAUAAGUAAUGCGAAUUGCAGAAUUCAGUGAGUCAUCGAAUCUUUGAACGCACAUUGCGCCCUGUGGUAUUCCGCAGGGCAUGCCUGUUCGAGCGUCAUUUCAACCCUCAAGCCUCGCUUGGUGUUGGGCCCUGCCCGCCGCGGCCGGCCCUAAAGAUAGUGGCGGCGCCGCCUGGCCCUCAGCGUAGUACAGCUCUCGCUCCAGGGUCCGGCGGCAGCCUGCCAGAACCCCCCAACUCUGUGGUUGACCUCGGAUCAGGUAGGGAUACCCGCUGAACUUAAGCAUAUCAAUAAGCGGAGGA